rnacentral:lncRNA from 1 species
ACAACAGGGGGAAGAUGGCUCAGAGUUAGGCUGGAGAGGGGCGGUGUCCCUUCCGCCGCAGCCGCGGGGUUUCUGCUACAUCCCAUUCGCCACCUCCGCCAUCCUUUUUUCUGUGUGAGCAGAAGGGCUUGCAGUUGUUCUCUCCUGCCUAGUGUCUUCCAAGGGAUAGAUGCCAUUUCUUCUGCUGGUCUCUGGGGGUGAGGAGGGGCGCAGGGGAGCUUCUUGGGGGAAUCGCUCCAACUCUGUGGAGCUGGUGGUGCUGCCUGGUGGGGCUCUCUCUGCCCAGGACGUGGAACAACUUUCAGCCGGAGGACUAGAGGAAAUAGUUGUAGGGGAGGAAAAAUUGUUUCCUUCUAGCCUUUUAGGUCAUUUGGCUGGUCUACAAAUUAAAUUGAUGUAAGACAGAGGAACAUGAGAAAAACGAUUUGUCGACCGAAAGGUGAAAUAACAGGAUUUUAAACAUUUUGUAGACGAUAACAUUCGUCUUGAAGCUGUGGACAAUCUAAAACAGAAAUGGAGUUCCAAAUUUUGUUUUUGUAAUAUGGCCCGUCAACUGCACAUGGGAAGAAUGUGGGUACUCUGAAAUAUGAUUUCUAUUUUAACUAGUUAUACUAUAUCAUAGGUCUGAUUAUCAUCUAUAUGAGAUGUUAAAGCUGUAGGAGUAUAGUCAAUUAGACUACAAACCCUGGUAGUAAAUUUCCAGGAGGAAAGGGGUCCAUAUGUUUUUUAUAAGUGUAAACCUUGUGUUUCUGAAUCUAAGAGGGUUGGCCAUGUUUGGAGACUAUUUCAGCUUCUAUGUGAAUUAACAUAUUAAUUAUUCUUGUUGAAAGACAUGGAAGAUCUUGAUAUGGUUUGACCCUGUAUCCUCACCCACAUCUUAUUUUGAAUUAUACUCCCAUAAUUCCCAUGUGUUGUGGGAGGGACCUGGUGGGAGAUAAUUGAAUCAUUGGGGUGUUUUCUUCCAUACUGUUUUCGUGGUAGUGACUUAAGUA